UUGUAGUGUUGAAUCGAUUUUACUUAUGUUUUGGCUAUUAAAAUAUGUACAAAUCAUGUAUUUUAAAUCCGAAGAACCGAUUUCAUUUAUGUUUUAGUUACAAAAUAGGUACAAAUCAUGUAUUUUUAAACUGAAGAACCGAUUGGGACCCGAACCCGAAAGUACAAUGGAUUAUACCGGUUCUUUGAAUAUUUACUAACCCC
rnacentral:lncRNA from 1 species